UUUUUUUUUUUUUUUUUUGCUUUUUAGGGUCACACCUGCAGCAUAUGGAGCCUUAAAAUAAAUAAACAAAUAAAUAAAUAAAUAAAACAAACAGGAGUCAUCUAACUUCCUCGGUAAAGGGCUCCACAGUAAAUGUUUUAGGCUUCACAGGCCACCUAUCUCUGUCACAAUUGCUCCACUCUGCUAACGUAGCAUGAAAGUGGCCAAGACAACGUGUAAAGGAAUGCAGAUGGCCAGAUUCCAAUAAAACCUCAUUCAUGGACGUUGAGUUUUGAAUUUCAUAUAUUUUAUUCUUUUGAUUUUCUCCCAUCUCUUAAAAAAUGUAAAAACCAUUCUUAGACCAUGCCCCGCCCCCCAAAAAAUGGUGAACUUCUUUGACCUCCAAACCAUCAUUUGCCAACACCUGUGUUUAUAACCAAAAAAGGUGGUAGAACUGAACACAAAUUCCUUGGCGGCUGAGGGAAAACUGGUAACAAACUAGAAAGAGAAGAAAGCUGCCAUAACUUGAGAAAGUUUAUCUACCAGAAAACGACAGCAAAUAUCACUUAAUGAAUGAAACAUAACAAACAUUUCUCACUAAUGUCAGAAAGAAAACAUGAAUGCCUGUCACUAUUUCUAUUCAACAAUAUAUUGACAGUAUAUAUAUCAGAAAGGAGCAGAAGUCACUGUUCUGGUUAUUUGAUCAUUUUCUUAAAAAAAAAAAAAAGAAGAAAAGAAAGAAAAGAAAAAGAAAAAAAAACUAAGAGGCGAGGAGUUCCCUGGUGGCCCAACUGGUUAAAGAUCCAGCUUUAUCACUGCUGUGCUGUGGGUUCAAUCCCUGGCCCCAGAACUUCCACAUGCUGUGGGCAUGGCCAAAAAAAUAAAUAAAUAAAUAAGAGGCCAAAUAUAAAAAUUUAGAAGGUAACCUAACAGAGCUCAAUAUCCAAAAAUUAGUUUCCCUCACAGUAGCAAAAGACAAUUAGACAACAUAAAUAAAAUUCAAUGGUAUCUCUGCAUAGAGAGUAUACACAUGUUGCAUUAUAUUUAUUUUAGAAACUAGGGACUUUUGACCUAUUAUAAAUGCAUCUUUUAAAAUCGUUACCAAUAUAAAGCAUAAUAUAUUAUAAAUGUGAACAAAACUUAAAAGUAAAACUCAGUGAAUUAUCAAACCUUUGAGCAACCCAAUAAUUAGGAAAAAGAAAAAAACAAUGUGCAAGAUACACAUAAACACACACGCACCCCACUCUCCAGCCCCAAACUGAAAGACUAAAAAGACUUAGAGAUGCGAUACAAUUUGAAUCAAAAUUUGAACAGGGUGUGUGUGUGUGUGUGUGUGUGUGUGUGUGUGUGUGUGUGUGUAUUUAACAAUAGGAUUCUAAACUUUCUAAGGAAGCUCAAAGGGCCAAAAACAGCAAGAUACUUCUAAAAAAGAAGAUUACAGAACUUACUUUUCCAGACACCAAGAUUUACUUUAAAGCUAUUUAUAGAAGUAUGACGAUAUAAUACUGGUGCAAAGAGAAACAAGACCAAUAAAACAAAAUACAGAGAAGAAAACCAACAAACAGACCACUGCAGAGCAGUGAGGGAAGGACUGCCUUUCCAAUAAACAGUUCUGGGAAAACAGGAUAUCUGUGUGGAAAGAAUAAAAAUGGACACCUACAGUCCUUGGGAGAUCAUAGACCUAAAUGUGAAAAGCAAAGCAAUAAAGCUUCUCAAAGAAUAUGUCUUGGAAACAGGAUUAAGAUGGCGGAAUAGAAGGACUGGAGCUCAACUUCUCUCCUAAAAGCAACAAAAUUCACAACUAAAGACUGAGCAAUCUCCACCCAAAUGGACCGGAAACCCAUACCCUACUCCAGAAGAAAAAGAGGAGGCCACAUCCACAGGUAGGAGGGGUGAUUUCGUGAUAUAAACAACCCCAUACCUCCCGGGUGGGAAGCUCCACAGACUGAAAACUAACUGGUUCACAGAGACUCACCUACAGGAGUGAGAGUUCUGAGCCCCACAUCAAACCCUCACAUGCGGGGAUCUGGCACUGGGAGAAAGAGCCCCUGGAGCAUCUGGCAUUGAAGGCCAGUGGGGCUUGUGCGCAGGAGCUCCACAGGACUGGGGGAAACGGAGACCCCAUUCUUAAAAGGCGCACACAGACUUUCACGUGCACUAGGUCCCAGGGCAGAGCGAGGUCUCCACAGGAACCUAGGUCAAACCUGACUGCAGUUCUUGGAGGACAUCCUGGGAAAACAGGGGUGAAUGUGGCUUGUUGUGAGGGAAGGACAUUGAAGGCAAAGCUCUCGGGAAUAUUCAGCAGUUGCCUUUCUCUGGAGGUGGCCAUUUUGGGAAAAUCUGGCCCCACCCGUCAGUCAGUGCUGAGAAGCCCCAGGGCAAACAACAAUCCAGGUGGGAUCACAGCCCCGCCCCUCAGUAAACAGGCUACCUAAAGAGCCUCAGGCACACAGCAGCCCCUAAUCCCAUCCAGAGACUAAGCCCCACCCACCAGAGGGAUUAGAAUCAGCUCCACCUACCAGUGGGCAGGCAUCAGCCCCUCCCAUCAGGAAGCCUACAGCAAGCCCCCAUACCGACUUCAGCCACAAGGGGGGCAGACACCAGAAGUAAGAGAGGCUACAUCUCUAUUAUCUGUAAGAAGGUCACCACACCAAAAACCUAUAAAAAUGAAGAGACAGAGAACUAUAACUCAGAUGAGGGAGAAAGGAAAAACCCCAGAAAAUCAGCUAAGCAAUGAGGAGAUUCUCAGCCUCCAGGAAAAAGACUUUAGACUGUCAAUGCUGAAGAAGAAUAUGUCUUAUACUAUCUGUAGUCAAGUGCCACGUUUUUAAAAAUACCUAAAAUCUCAGGGAUCCAUGCUGGGUCCUCCUGCACAUGACUGGUUCGCAGCUUGAGAGGCCCGACUUGCCGCGUUGAGUUCAGUCACACCAGAACUAUCAGCAAGAUGAGUCCUCUACUCACGCACCUGCAUUCCCUGUUACGUCGCAUUACCAUAAAGGUUUCUGAAGUCUUACUCUCAAUUUCUAUACUUAUCUCAUCAGGGACCAGUAAAAAACAGCUUAGAAAUAGUACAGGUCCUUGGACCACAGUUUGGUCAGCAUAGUAGUCAACAGUUCUUAAGACUGUUGAAGGUAAUAUAAGAAAAUAUCCUUAUGACCUCAGGUAGAAUGUUUUCUUAAAAUGAAUUCCAAAGGCACUAAUCAUAAGGGGAAAUACUGGGUAAAUUUUAGUACAUUAAAAUCAGGAACUGCUAAUUAAAAGAUACCAUGAAG
rnacentral:lncRNA from 1 species